rnacentral:rRNA from 1 species
CCGCAAUGGACGAAAGUCUGACGGAGCAACGGCCGCGUGAGUGAUGAAGGAUUUCGGUCUGUAAAGCUCUGUUGUUUAUGACGAACGUGCAGUGUGUGAACAAUGCAUUGCAAUGACGGUAGUAAACGAGGAAGCCACGGCUAACUACGUGCC